GCACCGCUGGUGUAUGGAACACGCGCCGUCUUGUUGAGCCCGUCCUCCAAUAAAGCGGUGAGACGGGGUUCGAUUCCCCGGCGGUGCA